GCCGGGUGCUGUGGCGGGCGCCUGUGGUCCCAGCUACUUGGGAGGCUGAGGCAGGGGACUCACUUGAGCCCAGGAGUUGGAGGUUGCUGUGAGCUGUGAUGCUGCAGCACUCUACCCAGGGGGACAGCUUGAGGCUCUGUCUCAAAAAUAAAAUAAAAUAAAAUAAAAUAAAUAAAAUAAAUAAACAAACAGUUAGCUUUCUAUGUCUCCCUUAUAGUGAGUGCUGUUUUGUUUUGGUUUUUUUUGAGACAGAGCCUCAAGCUGUCACCCUGGGUAGAGUGCUGUGGCAUCACAGCUCACAGCAACCUCCAACUCCUGGGCUCAAGCGAUUCCCCUGCCUC
rnacentral:SRP_RNA from 1 species